rnacentral:rRNA from 1 species
ACGGCUCAGUAACACGUGGACAACCUACCCUCCGGACGGGGAUAAACCCGGGAAACUGGGUAUAAUACCCGAUAGAUCUCGACUGCUGGAAUGCAUCGAGAUCGAAAGCUCCGGCGCCAGAGGAUGGGUCUGCGGCCUAUCAGGUAGUAGUGGGUGUAGCGUACCUACUAGCCUACGACGGGUACGGGUUGUGAGAGCAAGAGCCCGGAGAUGGAUUCUGAGACACGAAUCCAGGCCCUACGGGGUGCAGCAGGCGCGAAAACCUUACAAUGCCGGCAACGGCGAUAAGGGGACCUCGAGUGCCAGGUUACAAAUCUGGCUGUCGUGAUGCCUAAAAAGCAUUGCAUAGCAAGGGCCGGGCAAGACCGGUGCCAGCCGCCGCGGUAACACCGGCGGCUCGAGUGGUAACCGUUAUUAUUGGGUCUAAAGGGUCUGUAGCCGGCCGGAUAAGUCUCUUGGGAAAUCCAGCAGCUCAACUGUUGGGCUCUCAGGAGAUACUGUCUGGCUCGAGGCCGGGAGAGGUGAGAGGUACUUCAGGGGUAGGGGUGAAAUCUUGUAAUCCUUGAAGGACCACCAGUGGCGAAGGCGUCUCACCAGAACGGACCUGACGGCAAGGGACGAAAGCUAGGGGCACGAACCGGAUUAGAUACCCGGGUAGUCCUAGCCGUAAACGAUACUCGCUAGGUGUCGGCCACGGUGCGACCGUUGUCGGUGCCGUAGGGAAGCCGUGAAGCGAGCCACCUG